CUAAUAAUUACACAACAAAACAACUCAUCUUGCUCAAGGAUAUGAUCCAAGUUCUAGUGAGGAGAAUAUUAAAAUAAUUUAUCCAUGGGAAAGUUAGCUACUGAACAAGUUGUGUAUGACAACUUAAUCAAGGUUGAAUGAUAAAAAGAAGUAAUAAUGAAGAAUUGAGCAGUUAAAAAGUGAUUGGCUCUCUACCCAUAGCAGACGCCUUUGCAACGCUGCAGGCAGAUCAUGCAGACAAGAUAAUGUCUGAAGAAAAAGUCAGCCAGUUUCCAUGAAAGUGUUACAGUAACUAACAUUAUAGAUGAAGAAACCGAGGUUUACAAAACUCUGGAAUUUGGCAAAGGCAGUGAAGAUGAGAUCUGACUUCUAAAUUUAUAUUUUACCAUAUAUUUUACUAAACAAUAAACUGUC